AGCAGGAUGGCCUAGUGGAAAGAGCACUGACCUGGGAGUCAGAGAACCUCGGUUCUAAUCCUGGUUCCGCCA
rnacentral:tRNA from 1 species